ACGGAGGAUCCGAGCGUUAUCCGGAUUUAUUGGGUUUAAAGGGCGCGUAGGCGGAGGAAUAAGUCGGGGGUGAAAGCUUGCAGCUCAACUGCAAAAUUGCCGUUGAAACUGUUUUUCUUGAGUGUAAAUGAGGUAGGCGGAAUGUGGUGUGUAGAGGUGAAAUGCUUAGAUAUGACACAGAACACCGAUUGCGAAGGCAGCUUACUAAGAUACAACUGACGCUGAGGCGCGAAAGCGUGGGGAUCGAACAG
rnacentral:rRNA from 1 species